GGGGCCGUAGCUCAAUUGGGAGAGCGCAUGACUGGCAGUCAUGAGGUCGUCGGUUCGAUCCCGAUCGGCUCCACCA
rnacentral:tRNA from 1 species